UCACUUUCAACAACGGAUCUCUUGGCUCUCGCAUCGAUGAAGAACGUAGCGAUGUGCGAUAAGUAAUGUGAAUUGCAGUAUUCCGUGAAUCAUAGAAUCUUUGAACGCAAAUUGCACUUUCUGGUAUUCCGGAAAGUAUGCCUGUUUGAGGGUCAGUC
rnacentral:rRNA from 1 species